rnacentral:rRNA from 1 species
AUGAACGCUAGCUACAGGCUUAACACAUGCAAGUCGAGGGGCAGCAUGGUCUUAGCUUGCUAAGGCCGAUGGCGACCGGCGCACGGGUGAGUAACACGUAUCCAACCUGCCGUCUACUCUUGGACAGCCUUCUGAAAGGAAGAUUAAUACAAGAUGGCAUCAUGAGUCCGCAUGUUCACAUGAUUAAAGGUAUUCCGGUAGACGAUGGGGAUGCGUUCCAUUAGAUAGUAGGCGGGGUAGCGGCCCACCUAGUCUUCGAUGGAUAGGGGUUCUGAGAGGAAGGUCCCCCACAUUGGAGCUGAGACACGGUCCAAACUCCUACGGGAGGCAGCAGUGAGGAAUAUUGGUCAAUGGGCGAGAGCCUGAACCAGCCAAGUAGCGUGAAGGAUGACUGCCCUAUGGGUUGUAAACUUCUUUUAUAAAGGAAUAAAGUCGGGUAUGCAUACCCGUUUGCAUGUACUUUAUGAAUAAGGAUCGGCUAACUCCGUGCCAGCAGCCGCGGUAAUACGGAGGAUCCGAGCGUUAUCCGGAUUUAUUGGGUUUAAAGGGAGCGUAGAUGGAUGUUUAAGUCAGUUGUGAAAGUUUGCGGCUCAACCGUAAAAUUGCAGUUGAUACUGGAUAUCUUGAGUGCAGUUGAGGCAGGCGGAAUUCGUGGUGUAGCGGUGAAAUGCUUAGAUAUCACGAAGAACUCCGAUUGCGAAGGCAGCCUGCUAAGCUGCAACUGACAUUGAGGCUCGAAAGUGUGGGUAUCAAACAGGAUUAGAUACCCUGGUAGUCCACACGGUAAACGAUGAAUACUCGCUGUUUGCGAUAUACAGCAAGCGGCCAAGCGAAAGCGUUAAGUAUUCCACCUGGGGAGUACGCCGGCAACGGUGAAACUCAAAGGAAUUGACGGGGGCCCGCACAAGCGGAGGAACAUGUGGUUUAAUUCGAUGAUACGCGAGGAACCUUACCCGGGCUUAAAUUGCAGAUGAAUUACGGUGAAAGCCGUAAGCCGCAAGGCAUCUGUGAAGGUGCUGCAUGGUUGUCGUCAGCUCGUGCCGUGAGGUGUCGGCUUAAGUGCCAUAACGAGCGCAACCCUUGUUGUCAGUUACUAACAGGUUCCGCUGAGGACUCUGACAAGACUGCCAUCGUAAGAUGUGAGGAAGGUGGGGAUGACGUCAAAUCAGCACGGCCCUUACGUCCGGGGCUACACACGUGUUACAAUGGGGGGUACAGAGGGCCGCUACCACGCGAGUGGAUGCCAAUCCCAAAAACCUCUCUCAGUUCAGACUGGAGUCUGCAACCCGACUCCACGAAGCUGGAUUCGCUAGUAAUCGCGCAUCAGCCACGGCGCGGUGAAUACGUUCCCGGGCCUUGUACACACCGCCCGUCAAGCCAUGGGAGCCGGGGGUACCUGAAGUGCGUAACCGCGAGGAGCGCCCUAGGGUAAAACUGGUAACUGGGG